ACAACUAUAGGCGGGAUUCCAAAA
rnacentral:siRNA from 1 species